UUUUUAGGACAAUGUAGAUCAGACUUCAGCUCAUGGUCGGCGGGAUCUGGUGGAACCAGGAUUCCAAGAACCAUCUAAUCGCAUCUCUCUAAAUCACCAAGAUGAUGAUGUGGACCUAGAAGCUUUGGUAAAUGACAUGAAUUCCUCAUUUGAGAGUUUGUACUCUACGUGCAGUAUGCAGUCGGAAACCACUCCGCUCCUUCAAAAUGGCCAGCUUAAUCGCAGUCAGUUGCCAACCUCAGGAUCAAGCUCAUUGCAGCCCACAUCUCCAAGGCAGAAGGUGCAGCGGUCUCAGCCAGUACGCAUUAUGGCAGUCAGACGUCUACAGGAGGAAGAGCAGCAAUUUAGAACAUCAUCUUUGCCAGCCAUACCAAAUCCGUUUCCGGAACUUUGUAGUCCUGCAAGCUCUCCAGUGCUGGCCCCUGGAUCUUUACCUCAGAGUCAACCUGCUAGUAAGCAUGAUGUAAAAGUCUUUAGUGAAGAUGGAACAAGCAAAGUGGUGGAGAUUCUAGCAGACAUGACAGCCAGGGACCUCUGCCAGCUGCUGGUUUACAAAAGUCAUUGUGUGGAUGAUAACAGCUGGACUCUAGUGGAGCAUCACCCUCACCUAGGAUUAGAGAGGUGCUUGGAAGAUCAUGAGCUCAUAGUCCAAGUCGAGUCCACAAUGGGAAGUGAAAGUAAAUUUUUGUUCAGGAAGAAUUAUGCAAAAUACGAAUUUUUCAAAAAUCCCAUGAAUUUCUUUCCAGAGCAAAUGGUUGCGUGGUGCCAGCAAACAAAUGGCAGUAUUCCGCAGUCACAACUUUUGCAGAACUUUUUAAACUCCAGUAGCUGCCCUGAAAUUCAAGGUUUCUUGCAUGUGAAAGAGCUGGGUAGGAAAUCAUGGAAGAAAUUGUAUGUGUGUUUGAGGAGAUCAGGACUUUAUUGUUCUACAAAAGGAACUUCAAAGGAGCCACGACAUUUGCAAUUGUUAGCUGACCUAGAAGACAGCAAUAUCUUCUCAUUGAUAGCAGGCAAGAAGUUGUACAAUGCACCUGCAGACUACGGUUUUUGUAUAAAGCCCAACAGAGUGAGAAAUGAAACUAAGGAAUUGAGGUUGUUGUGUGCUGAAGAUGAGCAAAGCAGGACAUGCUGGAUGACUGCCUUUCGACUCCUCAAGUAUGGAAUGCUCCUGUAUCAGAAUUACAGAAUUCCCCAGCAGAGAAAAGCCAUGCUUCCACACUUUUCCACUCCAGUAAGAAGUGUAUCUGAAAACUCACUAGUAGCAAUGGAUUUUUCGGGGCAAAUAGGAAGAGUUAUUGAAAAUCCCGCUGAAGCACAGAGUGCUGCCUUGGAAGAAGGACAUGCUUGGAGGUGUCCAGAGGAAAGUUGAGGGGGAAAGCAGACCCACCAGAACUUUACUGCCAGUUUGCAAAACCAGUCUCUGAGGAGGAAUAUGUCAAAUUAAAUGCUUCCCCACAUGGAAGAGGCUGGGGCUCUGACUAAUGGCUUGCUCCCAAAACGUAGCACAAGAAUGAACAUCUUGGGUAGCCAAAGUCCACUCCAUCCUUCCACACUGAGUACAGUUAUUCAUAGGACACAGCAUUGGUUUCAUGGCAGGAUCUCUAGAGAAGAAUCUCACAGGAUUAUUAAGCAGCAAGGGCUUGUGGAUGGAUUAUUUCUUCUCCGGGAUAGCCAAAGCAAUCCAAAGGCAUUUGUACUUACACUGUGCCAUCAUCAAAAAAUAAAGCAUUUUCAAAUCUUGCCGUGUGAGGAUGAUGGACAGAUCUUUUUCAGCCUGGAUGAUGGGAACACCAAAUUCAGUGAUCUUAUCCAACUUGUUGAAUUCUAUCAACUAAACAAAGGAGUCUUGCCCUGCAAACUCAAACACCACUGCAUCCGAGUGGCCUUAUGACCUCAAAUCUGACUCUCACUGAAGACUGGAUUUGCUAGAAGAGUAAUUGUAAGAGAAAGUUGACACUGGGGAAUUGGCAGAUCUGUAAGUUGGUAAAAAAUAAAUAAAAAUAUUAUGCACCUUGGGACUCUGAAAGGGAUGGAUUCGACUGGUGCCAACAGACCAAGAUUUACUGGUUUGUCCAACACCUAAGAGUGAUUGCUGCUGAGUGUCCCAGCAACCCAAAAAUGGGGGGAGGGUAUGUAAAACCAUUAGCAAAUUUGAAACAAAACUGGAAACUGUCUUGGCUGGGCCACUUAACAGGAACAAGUGUGAAGAGAAAUCUUUGAAAAGAACUCUUGCCCUGGAAUAAUCUUGACAAUUAAGACUAGUGUGUUUACUUUUUGUAUUGAUCACUUUUUUUGCACUCCUACUUUGUUUCGGAUAUUGUAUGCAGCCUAUAUUAGGAGCUGAUGUGGCUUUUAAAAUUCAUGCAGGAGUUGGGUAUUAAUCUGCACCCUAAAAUGUAUGGAAAGCUUCAGCCUAAAAGGAUCUAGAAGAAAAUCGAGAAGUGUGUGUGUGUGUGUGUGUGCGCGCGCGCGCGUGUGUCUCAAAACUUCUCUGGAGACCUGAGGUUCGAUCAUCUGCAGAUGUCUUUGAAGAAGCAAUGUGGAUACAAUUCUAAAAGAACAUAGCACCAUAUAUGUACUCUUAAAACUGUUGAUUUGUAGCAUUAUGGCUGUAGUAUGUUGAUGGCAUAUUAGUGGCAUCCAGUCAUGCAAAGACUGUAUUAGAUUCUAU